rnacentral:lncRNA from 1 species
ACUCCACUCACGAACUGUGGUCCUGUUGCAUUAACUUUCUCCUGGGUGCGACACUCUUCCCUGUUGGCUGCUGAUUAGAAAAGGAAAAAGACCAGGACUAAAUCUCUUACACUUAACAACAAUUUAAUACUUAGGAGGACUACCUUAGAAUAAUUCCUGAGGCAGAUUUAAAUAAUUUAAAACGUAUUUAAUUUUAAAGUAAACAAUUAAAGGUUAUAUGUCAUACUGCUUAUUUCAAAAUACCAUGAAUAAAACUCAGAAAGUUUUAUUAUUCUACAUGCAAAUUGUUACUGCUAGAAGAGCAUUCGUAAAGCCUUUAAAUUUGCCCCUUCUCCCUGAACAAAGGAACAGUAAAUUUUUACUCAAUAAAGUUAAAAAAAAGUUAAAGGAUACUGUGUUUUAAAUACAUUAUUAUUCAAACGUGAACAUUUAUUUUUACAAGAAAUGAGAAUUUAAAAUGUAUCCUAAUUUUGAAUUCAUAGGAAUUCUGCUUUAACUUGUUCCUGCUUGUGGUGCAUACUACAGAAUGAAAUUAACAGCUCUAAAUACUCUGAAGUCCAAAGAAGUUGUAUGUUGGGUGGGCUCCCUUCAACUUUAACAUGGAAGUGCUUUCUGUGACUUUAAAAGAUCUGGACUUACCUCAAUUGCUUUUGCUGCUUGUUCUUUUGUUUCAAAUUCCACAAACGCAAAUCCCUUUGGAUCUCCAGUAGACUUAUAAUGUGGUAUACUUAUAUAAACAACAUUGCCACAUUUCCCAAAUACUCUUUCAAUCCAGCUGUGAUUAACAUUUUUGGGAAGUAACUCCUAUUAUAAAUUAAAAGCAAUAUUAGAGUUUUUCACAAUCAGAAUGUCAAUAAAUUUUUAACUUAAUUAUAUUGUUUCUGUGCCAGUUUCUGACUGGGGACCCGGGUUCUUAAGCUUACCACAUACACUGUGCGUUCAUCCUCAUCCUUUGGUCUUUCCCCCAGAGGUUUUUUCCUCCGGAUUCUGGUGCCUUCCAAAUCAAGCUUUAAAAUAGUAUAUUACAUUAAUAAAACUAAUAUUAUUUAUAAUUGUAAGCUAUAAUCAUAUAAUAAUCAUUACGUUAACAUUCUUUAUAAUUAUAAACUAUAAAUAUAA